rnacentral:piRNA from 1 species
UCACAAUCGUUCACAGUGGUCAAGACUUC